GAUGAACGCUGGCGGCGUGCCUAAUACAUGCAAGUCGAGCGAACGGACGAGAAGCUUGCUUCUCUGAUGUUAGCGGCGGACGGGUGAGUAACACGUGGAUAACCUACCUAUAAGACUGGGAUAACUUCGGGAAACCGGAGCUAAUACCGGAUAAUAUUUUGAACCGCAUGGUUCAAAAGUGAAAGACGGUCUUGCUGUCACUUAUAGAUGGAUCCGCGCUGCAUUAGCUAGUUGGUAAGGUAGCGGCUUACCAAGGCAACGAUGCAUAGCCGACCUGAGAGGGUGAUCGGCCACACUGGAACUGAGACACGGUCCAGACUCCUACGGGAGGCAGCAGUAGGGAAUCUUCCGCAAUGGGCGAAAGCCUGACGGAGCAACGCCGCGUGAGUGAUGAAGGUCUUCGGAUCGUAAAACUCUGUUAUUAGGGAAGAACAUAUGUGUAAGUAACUGUGCACAUCUUGACGGUACCUAAUCAGAAAGCCACGGCUAACUACGU
rnacentral:rRNA from 1 species